AACUCGCCUACAUGAAGUUGGAAUCGCUAGUAAUCGCGAAUCAGAAUGUCGCGGUGAAUACGUUCCCGGGUCUUGUACACACCGCCCGUCACACCACGAGAGUUUACAACACCCGAAGUCAGUGGCCUAACCGCAAGGAGGGGGCUGCCUAAGGUGGGGUAGAUGAUUGGGGUGAAGUCGUAACAAGGUAGC
rnacentral:rRNA from 1 species